rnacentral:rRNA from 1 species
UACAGAGGGGGCAAGCGUUGUUCGGAAUUACUGGGCGUAAAGGGCGCGUAGGCGGCCUUCUAAGUCGAACGUGAAAUCCCCGGGCUCAACCUGGGAACUGCAUUUGUGACUGCAUAGCUAGAGUGCGGCAGAGGGAGAUGGAAUUCCGCGUGUAGCAGUGAAAUGCGUAGAUAUGCGGAGGAACACCGAUGGCGAAGGCAAUCUCCUGGGCCUGCACUGACACUCAUGCACGAAAGCGUGGGGAGCAAACAGG